rnacentral:rRNA from 1 species
AGAGUUUGAUCCUGGCUCAGAUUGAACGCUGGCGGCAGGCCUAACACAUGCAAGUCGAGCGGUAGAGAGAAGCUUGCUUCUCUUGAGAGCGGCGGACGGGUGAGUAAUGCCUAGGAAUCUGCCUGGUAGUGGGGGAUAACGUUCGGAAACGGACGCUAAUACCGCAUACGUCAUACGGGAGAAAGCAGGGGACUUUCGGGCCUUGCGCUAUCAGAUGAGCCUAGGUCGGAUUAGCUAGUUGGUGGGGUAAUGGCUCACCAAGGCGACGAUCCGUAACUGGUCUGAGAGGAUGAUCAGUCACACUGGAACUGAGACACGGUCCAGACUCCUACGGGAGGCAGCAGUGGGGAAUAUUGAACAAUGGGCGAAAGCCUGAUCCAGCCGUGCCGCGUGUGUGAAGAAGGUCUUCGGAUUGUAAAGCACUUUAAGUUGGGAGGAAGGGCAGUAAAUUAAUACUUUGCUGUUUUGACGUUACCGACAGAAUAAGCACCGGCUAACUCUGUGCCAGCAGCCGCGGUAAUACGAAGGGUGCAAGCGUUAAUCGGAAUUACUGGGCGUAAAGCGCGCGUAGGUGGUUCAGCAAGUUGGAUGUGAAAGCCCCGGGCUCAACCUGGGAACUGCAUCCAAAACUACUGAGCUAGAGUACGGUAGAGGGUGGUGGAAUUUCCUGUGUAGCGGUGAAAUGCUUAGAUAUAGGAAG